rnacentral:RNase_P_RNA from 1 species
AGAGUAGGCGCAGGCGGUUACGGACGCAAGUCUGAGGAAAGUCCGGGCUCCCCAAGGACCAAACUUGCUGGGUAACGCCCAGUGCGGGCGACCGUGAGGAAAGUGCCACAGAAACAUACCGCCGAUGGAGGUUCAAACUCACAGGUAAGGGUGCAAGGGUGCGGUAAGAGCGCACCAGCAGCGUCGAGAGGCGCUGGCUCGGUAAACCCCGGUUGGGAGCAAGGUCGAAGGAGCAACGGUUGGUCUUUUCCGGCUCCGGGUAGAAACG